AAUGUUUGAAGCUCAAUCCGGACACAGAAAUAUCAAGCCCAGAAAGAGAGAUCAAUUGCCAGGUUUCUUUUAGGCCACAAGUUGAUUGAGGCGGUUCAGGCAUGUUAGAGGCCAAGGAAGUGUAUUCGUUCUUGCUCUUUGUGAAUGGGUGGUUGGGUCAGCUCUUCUCCCCCUGCUCCCAACCAGUCCUCCUAUCUACAAGCAGCCUCAAUACCCAACAGUAUCUUGGCAAUGGUACUUCAUUGCAGCGGCUGGUGUGAAGGAGUCGGAUGUGCAGAUGUUCAGACAGAUGGACAGCACUGUGUUUCACCUGAAUGAGACCUUUAAAAAUACACUACUGUUGAGCGGAGCCAUGCGCGUGUAAGAGACCAGGGAUAGCUGACACAAUCAUACUGGCAGAGAAGCCCACUUGGGGGGUGUUCAUUGCAUUAUGAAAAACUGGACCUAUACUAUUCAGUCUGGCAAAGAUGAUUUGACAUCAGAAGGCAGGCCUGAGCUGCAAACUCUAGUGUGGAGUGGAGAGUGGCUGAACUGCACCCAGUGUAUCCUGCUCCAGGAGAUAGAGCGUCACUUGGAACCACUAGAGACACACGACACCCUCAACAGAUUCAUGCUUUACGCUCGUGACAGUGCCUUAUUGGAUAAUAAAGUGGUGAAGGUGUUUCAGACCCAAACAGCUUGUAAAAAUAUGGACAGAUUUGUCCAUCUCCCUCAAGAGAAAGAGCUUUGUAAAUUGGAGAGUAAGGCGUAGCACUGAGGCUGCCUGCAAUUUGUUAGAAUCUUCAAUCAAGAUCAUGCUAUGCAUCAAAAUAGGUUUCCCUUUGAUAGUUUAAUAUUAGCGUAUUGCCCACUCUAACUUUGAUCUAACUCAGAAACGUGGAACUAAUUCAAAUGAAGAACUCUCCUCUCAUUUCCCAUGUGUAAUAGUAAAACAAAUAAACAGAAAAAAUAACAGCUA